GUUGACUUUUCCCUGCAUGAAAGUCGAGCUCUAAGGUCCCUCUGUGAGCAAGCAGAAGCAGCAGGGAACAGGUAUCACAGGUCCAUCAGAGACCUUUCUCCAUCCUCUCUGACUCUGCUCUGCCACACAGCUGCAGGAAAAAGCCUAACAGAAGCGGGGAGGAUUGGAUCCAAGAGAAGAGUGCAUUGAAGAAUUGGUGAUUUGUCUGAACUUUGAACCAAGCUGCUUGCAAACAGCUGAAAGAGGUCAGAAGUGUCAACAUCAGUGCAUGAGAAAACCUGCUGGCUGAAGCCAGCACUUGGAAGGAACCUGCAGCUCUUUCCUCCCCACACCUCCUCCAGUUACAAACUUUUAGUCUUUGUUGUUUUUCUCAUCUAUGCAAACAGCUUUGUGAACUUUGAGGAUGGUCUUCUGUGCAUUACACUGCGUUUGCUGCUGAAAUGUUAAACAGCAGCUUGAGUAGUUUCUAAAGGUCAUGGUCACCAAAUAAAAGACACAUUGCAGGCACC